rnacentral:rRNA from 1 species
AUUGAACGCUGGCGGCAGGCCUAACACAUGCAAGUCGAGCGGAUGAAGGGAGCUUGCUCCUGGAUUCAGCGGCGGACGGGUGAGUAAUGCCUAGGAAUCUGCCUGGUAGUGGGGGAUAACGUCCGGAAACGGGCGCUAAUACCGCAUACGUCCUGAGGGAGAAAGUGGGGGAUCUUCGGACCUCACGCUAUCAGAUGAGCCUAGGUCGGAUUAGCUAGUUGGUGGGGUAAAGGCCUACCAAGGCGACGAUCCGUAACUGGUCUGAGAGGAUGAUCAGUCACACUGGAACUGAGACACGGUCCAGACUCCUACGGGAAGCAGCAGUGGGGAAUAUUGGACAAUGGGCGAAAGCCUGAUCCAGCCAUGCCGCGUGUGUGAAGAAGGUCUUCGGAUUGUAAAGCACUUUAAGUUGGGAGGAAGGGCAGUAAGUUAAUACCUUGCUGUUUUGACGUUACCAACAGAAUAAGCACCGGCUAACCUCGUG